UUUUCUUUUUGUAGUUCUCCCCAGAGAGCAAGCCAUACUCUGGCACAAUGCAGGACCAUCUCCACAACUGUGGUGUCAAUGUUGAUGAGAUGAAUUGGGUCUGUCCUGCUGUCCAGUGACUGUGAGGCGACAGUGGCAAGGAAAAACUCCCCACAAGAGGAAGAAACCUUGGGAGGAACCAGGCUCUCUGGGGGGGCCCAUCCUCCUAAGGGCAAGGGAACCGUCAGCUGCUCCUGGCCACGGGACAUCUUCUUCAUUCAUCCUCCAGUCGUCUUUCCUGGUCAUCUGUUGUCCACCGUCACGUUGAACAACUGCACCAAGAAAACAGACAAGAUUAGGAACUCACUUACCUUCCUUGUCCCGCGGCGGGUCUCCUGGCUCCAUGAUGGUCAUCCUGUCUCCGUGUGGUGUAUCCAGGUCCCUUAGUCCGACAUCACGUCUUGACUGUGGCAGGUCCCUUAGUCUGACAUCACGUCUUGACUGUGUCCAGGUGUCUUAGUCCGACAUCACGUCAUCAAACAGGAUGUAAGCACCCCUCUUCCGCUGCUCACAGACUAACUUGCCGGACGUCUUAAAGACCAUUGAAUCAUUGUAGCAUGACAGAGGACGACAGACGGUCACAUUCAGCCUUCAGUGUGUGCUUCUCUUACCCAUUUCUGUGGAGCCAAAAUGGCUGAUGGAGCUGACCAAGCUGUAGCAGCCUCCAUCCUGUGAAGGAACACAGUUCAUAAGAGUUAGUUUCACACGUACACACAAAACA